rnacentral:rRNA from 1 species
AUUGAACGCUGGCGGCAGGCCUAACACAUGCAAGUCGAGCGAGCGGCGGACGGGUGAGUAAUGUAUGGGGAUCUGCCCGAUAGCGGGGGAUAACUACUGGAAACGGUGGCUAAUACCGCAUACUAUCGGAUGAACCCAUAUGGGAUUAGCUAGUUGGUGAGGUAAUGGCUUACCAAGGCGACGAUCCCUAGCUGGUCUGAGAGGAUGAUCAGCCACACGGGGACUGAGACACGGCCCAGACUCCGACGGGAGGCAGCAGUGGGGAAUAGUGCCCAAGGGGGGCAACCCUGACGCAGCCAUGCCGCGUGAAUGAAGAAGGCCUUCGGGUUGUAAAGUACUUUCAGCGGGGAGGCGUUACCCGCAGAAGAAGCACCGGCUAACUCCGUGCCAGCAGCCGCGGUAAUAC